rnacentral:rRNA from 1 species
UCGAAAGGCGGGCUAACAUCAGAUGAUAUAUAAUCACGACAUCGUGGAAAUAUCAAAUCUUCGGAGCCUUGGGAUGAGCCUGCGUCUGAUUAGGUAGUUGGCGGAGUAAUAGCCCACCAAGCCUACGAUCAGUAGCUGGUCUGAGAGGAUGAUCAGCCACACUGGAACUGAGACACGGUCCAGACUCCUACGGGAGGCAGCAGUAAGGAAUAUUGCUCAAUGGGGGAAACCCUGAAGCAGCAACGCCGCGUGAAGGAUGAAAUACUUUGUAUGUAAACUUCUGUAAGAUGGGAAAAUAUUCUCCUCGGGAGAAUUGAUUGUACCAUCAGAGUAAGCCCCGGCUAACUACGUG